rnacentral:rRNA from 1 species
GACGAACGCUGGCGGCGUGCUUAACACAUGCCAGUCGAACGGAAAGGCCCUGCUUUUGUGGGGUGCUCGAGUGGCGAACGGGUGAGUAACACGUGAGUAACCUGCCCUUGACUUUGGGAUAACUUCUGGAAACUGGGGCGCAUACCGGGUAUGAGCUCCUGCUGCAUGUUGGGGGUUGGAAAGUUUCGGCGGUUGGGGAGGGACUCGCGGCUUAUCAGCUUGUUGGUGGGGUAGUGGCGUACCAAGGCUUUGACGGGUAGCCGGCCUGAGAGGGUGACCGGCCACAUUGGGACUGAGAUACGGCCCAGACUCCUACGGGAGGCAGCAGUGGGGAAUAUUGCACAAUGGGCGGAAGCCUGAUGCAGCAACGCCGCGUGCGGGAUGACGGCCUUCGGGUUGUAAACCGCUUUCGCCUGUGACGAAGCGUGAGUGACGGUAAUGGGUAAAGAAGCACCGGCUAACUACGUG